CCUACGGGAGGCAGCAGUAAGGAAUAUUGCGCAAUGGGCGAAAGCCUGACGCAGCGACGCCGCGUGGGGGAUGAAGGUCUUCGGAUUGUAAACCCCUUUCGGGAGGGAAGAUGGAGCGAGCAAUCGUUCGGACGGUACCUCCAGAAGCAGCCACGGCCAACUUCGUGCCAGCAGCCGCGGUAAUACGAAGGUGGCAAGCGUUGUUCGGAUUCACUGGGCGUACAGGGUGUGUAGGCGGUUUGGUAAGCCUUCUGUUAAAGCUUCGGGCCCAACCCGGAAAGCGCAGAGGGUACUGCCAGGCUAGAGGGUGGGAGAGGAGCGCGGAAUUCCCGGUGUAGCGGUGAAAUGCGUAGAGAUCGGGAGGAAGGCCGGUGGCGAAGGCGGCGCUCUGGAACAUACCUGACGCUGAGACACGAAAGCGUGGGGAGCAAACAGGGUUAGAUACCCUGGUAGUCCACGCCCUAAACUAUGGAUACUAAGUGUCGGCGGGUUACCGCCGGUGCCGCAGCUAACGCAUUAAGUAUCCCGCCUGGGAAGUACGGCCGCAAGGUUGAAACUCAAAGGAAUUGACGGAAU
rnacentral:rRNA from 1 species